UGCCAGCCGCCGCGGUAAUACGGAGGAUCCAAGCGUUAUCCGGAUUUAUUGGGUUUAAAGGGUGCGUAGGCGGACCCUUAAGUCAGUGGUGAAAGUUUGCGGCUCAACCGUAAAAUUGCCAUUGAAACUGAGGGUCUUGAGUGUAAAUGAGGUAGGCGGAAUGUGUUGUGUAGCGGUGAAAUGCUUAGAUAUAACACAGAACACCAAUUGCGAAGGCAGCUUACUGGGAUACAACUGACGCUGAGGCACGAAAGCGUGGGGAUCAAACAGGAUUAGAUACCCUGGUAGUCCACGCAGUAAACGAUGAAUACUAACUGUAUGCGAUAUACUGUAUGCGGUACAGCGAAAGCGUUAAGUAUUCCACCUGGGGAGUACGUUCGCAAGAAUGAAACUCAAAGGAAUUGACGG
rnacentral:rRNA from 1 species